GCUUGAUUAGUUGAUAUUUGAUAGUGAGGAUGCAUCAUUAUGUUGGUAUAAGAAGAUUGUUAUGGUUGAUGGUUUCAGCGUCAAAUAAGGAAAACAACGAUUUGACGACAAUAAAGGGGUUACAACUCAAGAAUACCUAUGCAGGUGUGAAGGUAAACGUCGUAAAUCCAUGAAACAACAAAACAGAAAACCAAGACAAGAAAUUAGACGCGGAUGAAAGGAACUUCUAAGGACAAAUUUAAACAAGGUAACUUCAAAGUGGCUUGUGGCGACCUUCAUCAAUGUUCAUUCACAUCCAAUGCAGCUACAGUAUCUCACUCGAUAUAUCCUGACUUAUCGUCGCAUAACUCUACACCAAGCUGCAUUAAUUGAUUUCUGAGAGCAGUCCGUAAUGAGAACAAGUUCAAUGCAUCACCUUGACCUCUCGGAACACGACGGGCACAAUCAUGUUGGAUACACCAGGAGGGACAUGUAUAAUCAUUCGUACAGAAGUUGUAAACAUCAUCGUAUUGUUAAUGGCCACGCUUCAACUGCAAUACUGCAUUUGGAAUAGAAGAAAAAUGAUGAUAACCAGUUCUUUGUGGAAUACAGUAUAGGUCCGGGUGAUAUAUUGAAGAAAACUAUGUGGCUGAUAGUAUGAUUAUAGCUGAUUUUUCUCUCUUCUGUGACGUAUUAGCAUUCGACACAACGUACAAAGGGAAUAAAUAUCGCAUGCCGCUAGUGAUUUUCACUAGUACGUUGUUCUAUAUGUAGAAACUGAUGAUUAUGGUUCAUUGAUUAUUCCAAUUAUAUUUCACUAUUCCUUUAUUACGAUUCCUUUAAAUGAAGCUCAUGACAUGACGACAUUGGGUCAUGUUUGAUCCAUCUUGUGUAGGGGUUAAUCAUCACUUCCAAACGUGUUUAUUUGAAAGUGCACUAUUGGAAAAUGAAAUUUACGAAAUGUAUGGGCGUUGGAAACACUAACCAAACCCUUGGGGGGGGGGAGAAAACCACAAGCAGUGAUCACGAAUGGGGACAGGGCAAUGUUGAAAGCCGUCAACCAGGUAUAUCUGAUGGCCACCCAUCGUCAUUAUAAAUGGCAUCUUGAUCAUUAACAUAAAAGGU
rnacentral:lncRNA from 1 species